CAGCGUGUAGCUCAGCAGAGAGCACCGGGCUGGAGACCCGGAAGGCGCGGGGGCGGUUCCCGCCACGCUGG
rnacentral:tRNA from 1 species